rnacentral:rRNA from 1 species
CACCGGCGGCUCGAGUGGUGGCCACUUUUAUUGGGUCUAAAGCGUCCGUAGCCGGCUUGGCAAGUCCCCUGGGAAAUCUGGCGGCUUAACCGUCAGGCGUCCAGAGGAUACUGCCAGGCUUGGGACCGGGAGAGGUGAGAGGUACCUCAGGGGUAGGGGUGAAAUCUUGUGAUCCCUGAGGGACCACCAGUGGCGAAGGCGUCUCACUAGAACGGGUCCGACGGUCAGGGACGAAAGCGUGGGGAGCAAACAGG